UGAAAUGCGAUAAGUAAUGUGAAUUGCAGAAUCUCGUGAAUCAUUGAAUCUUUGAACGCACAUUGCGCCCUAUGGUAUUCCGUAGGGCAUGCCUGUCUGAGCGUCAGCUUGUCUUCUCAAACAACUUUGUUUGGAUAACAUUAAGGAAGCAUGUAUUUCAUUGCAUGCCCCUUAGAAAUUCAUAGGCGGUACGGUUCUAGCAAACCAGACGUAAUAAUAAAAUAUCUCGUCUAAUGUUAAGUUCUGUUGCUUGCCUCUUUAAUCCACAAUCUUUUUUUAAGAUGACCUCAGAUCAGGUAGGGAUACCCGCUGAACUUAA
rnacentral:misc_RNA from 1 species